AUUCGCCCUUAGAGUUUGAUGGUGGCUCAGAACGAACGCUGGCGGCAGGCUUAACACAUGCAAGUCGAACGAUAUAGUGGCAGACGGGUGAGUAACGCGUGGAAACGUGCCUUUCACUACGGAAUAGCUUUUGGAAACGAAAGGUAAUACCGUAUACGCCCUCCGGGGGAAAGAUUUAUCGGUGAAAGAUCGGUCCGCGUUAGAUUAGCUAGUUGGUGAGGUAACGGCUCACCAAGGCUACGAUCUAUAGCUGGUCUGAGAGGAUGAUCAGCCACACUGGAACUGAGACACGGUCCAGACUCCUACGGGAGGCAGCAGUGGGGAAUAUUGCACAAUGGGCGCAAGCCUGAUGCAGCCAUGCCGCGUGAAUGAUGAAGGCCUUAGGGUUGUAAAAUUCUUUCGCCAGGGAUGAUAAUGACAGUACCUGGUAAAGAAGCCCCGGCUAACUUCGUGCCAGCAGCCGCGGUAAUACGAAGGGGGCUAGCGUUGUUCGGAAUUACUGGGCGUAAAGCGCACGUAGGCGGACUUUUAAGUCAGAUGUGAAAUCCCGAGGCUCAACCUCGGAACUGCAUUUGAAACUGGGAGUCUAGAGAUCAGGAGAGGUUAGCGGAAUACCGAGUGUAGAGGUGAAAUUCGUAGAUAUUCGGUGGAACACCAGUGGCGAAGGCGGCUAACUGGACUGAUACUGACGCUGAGGUGCGAAAGUGUGGGGAGCAAACAGGAUUAGAUACCCUGGUAGUCCACACCGUAAACGAUGAGUGCUAGUUGUCUGCAGGCAUGCCUGUAGGUGACGCAGCUAACGCAUUAAGCACUCCGCCUNGGAGUACGGCCGCAAGGUUAAAACUCAAAGAAAUUGACGGGGGGCCCCGCACAAGCGGUGGAGCAUGUGGUUUAAUUCGAAGCAACGCGCAGAACCUUACCUACGCUUGACAUGCCCGG
rnacentral:rRNA from 1 species